rnacentral:tRNA from 1 species
GCGGGUAUAGCUCAGAGGCAGAGCCGCGGUCUUCCAAACCGUCGGUCGCGGGUUCGAUCCCCGCUGCCCGCUCCA